rnacentral:rRNA from 1 species
UGCCAGCCGCCGCGGUAAUACGAAGGGGGCAAGCGUUGUUCGGAUUUACUGGGCGUAAAGGGCGCUCGUAGGUGGCUUUGUAAGUCAGAUGUGAAAGCCCACGGCUCAACCGUGGAAUUGCAUUUGAUACUGCAUCGCUAGAGUAUAGGAGAGGGAAGUGGAAUUUCUGGUGUAGGAGUGAAAUCCGUAGAGAUCAGAAGGAACACCGGUGGCGAAGGCGACUCCCUGGACUAUUACUGACACUGAGGAGCGAAAGCGUGGGGAGCAAACAGGAUUAGAUA